UACGUAGGGUGCAAGCGUUGUCCGGAAUUAUUGGGCGUAAAGGGCUCGUAGGCGGUCUGUCGCGUCGGGCGUGAAAACUCAGGGCUUAACCCUGAGCCUGCUUCCGAUACGGGCAGACUAGAGGUAUGCAGGGGAGAAUGGAAUUCCUGGUGUAGCGGUGAAAUGCGCAGAUAUCAGGAGGAACACCGGUGGCGAAGGCGGUUCUCUGGGCAUUACCUGACGCUGAGGAGCGAAAGUGUGGGGAGCGAACAGG
rnacentral:rRNA from 1 species